rnacentral:rRNA from 1 species
AUUGAACGCUGGCGGCAGGCCUAACACAUGCAAGUCGAACGGUAGCACAGAGAGCUUGCUCUCGGGUGACGAGUGGCGGACGGGUGAGUAAUGUCUGGGAAACUGCCCGAUGGAGGGGGAUAACUACUGGAAACGGUAGCUAAUACCGCAUAACGUCGCAAGACCAAAGUGGGGGACCUUCGGGCCUCACACCAUCGGAUGUGCCCAGAUGGGAUUAGCUAGUAGGUGGGGUAAUGGCUCACCUAGGCGACGAUCCCUAGCUGGUCUGAGAGGAUGGCCAGCCACACUGGAACGGAGACACGGUCCAGACUCCUACGGGGGGCAGCAGUGGGGAGUAUUGCACAAUGGGCGCAAGCCUGAUGCAGCCAUGCCGCGUGUAUGAAGAAGGCCUUCGGGUUGUAAAGUACUUUCAGCGGGGAGGAAGGCGGUGAAGUUAAUAGCUUCACCGAUUGACGUUACCCGCAGAAGAAGCACCGGCUAACUCCGUGCCAGCCGCCGCGGUAAUAC